ACAGGCACAGCCGCUUUGAGCAUUUUCACUGAAUUGCCAAACCAGUUGUGCCUGUAGA
rnacentral:pre_miRNA from 1 species